UUUAGUUUUUUGGGGGGAUCCCAUUUCCAUUCCAUUCCUAUGGUGGCGGUAGAUCCAUCUUACCUGGCAAAACGUAUUUACCAGUACAUCGGCCUGGAUAACUAUACAGAUCUGUUGCUGCCCAUUUAGCUGUAUUUUGAGGCAAAGAGUGCAAACCUCCUCCUCCCCUUCCACCUCCAGUCAUCAUCACCCACGGCAACCUUGGUCUUCCUCCGGCUGACCGCCCGUCAACUCCUUCGGCCCGGUCUUCGGGCUCCUUCAUCACCACCAGCAGUGUCUAGACUCCAUCGGGGGAAUAUGUCUUGGCUUC